AGCAGCCGCGGUAAUUCCAGCUCCAAUAGCGUAUAUUAAAGUUGUUGCAGUUAAAAAGCUCGUAGUUGAAUUUCGGGAUCAAUAUGUUGGUCGUGCCUUUGGUACGUACUAGUUUAUUGGUUUCUUCCUUCUGACGAACCAUGAUGUCAUUAAUUUGGUGUCAUGGGGAAUCAGGACUGUUACUUUGAAAAAUUAGAGUGUUUAAAGCAGGCUUCACGCUUGAAUACAUUAGCAUGGAAUAAUGAAAUAGGACGUUUGAUUCUAUUUUGUUGGUUUCUAGGAUCGACGUAAUGAUUAAUAGGGAUAGUUGGGGGCAUUAGUAU
rnacentral:rRNA from 1 species